GAAAAGUUCACCACGGUAGCUAUACCUUAGUGAAUAAGUCUUAAUGUAACUUCCAGCUGAGGACAUGUAAUCAAUCUCUCAGUUUAUUAAUUGCUGCCUGAAAUACUUUUCUGAAACACAACGAGCUGCAAAUGAAUUCAUGGGCUAUUAAUCUGCUGUACAUGGCACUGGAGGGAAAGCUCAUUAGGAAGGAAAGCAGAGGAGGCUGCCUCAGUCCUUACCAGUCAAAGCUGACCACACAGCGCAACUGAAAAAUGUGAUCCAUCUGCAGACAGCAAGUAUAAAGCAUUCAUGAACUCAUUACUAAUAAAAAAGGCUUAAGAAGAACAAAUUUGGAAAAAGCAGAUCUCCAGGUCAAAAUGAAGACAGUUUCCUCAUCAGCCUAACCUCCCCAGGCAAUGUCGUUCACAGAGUGAAAGACAUAGAGGAUACUAAUUGUGGAAGCUUUGACUGCUGUUAAACAAAUUACUUUCUAACACCUGUAUUUUAUUUUCUUCCUGGA